UACAGAGGGUGCGAGCGUUGUUCGGAAUUAUUGGGCGUAAAGCGCUUGUAGGCGGCCUGUCAAGUCGCGUGUGAAAUCCCCUGGCUUAACCAGGGAGGUGCGCGCGAACUGAAGGGCUUGAGUGCCGGAGAGGGUCGCGGAAUUCCCGGUGUAGAGGUGAAAUUCGUAGAUAUCGGGAGGAACACCAAGUGGCGAAGGCGGCGACCUGGACGGACACGUGAC
rnacentral:rRNA from 1 species